rnacentral:rRNA from 1 species
CUUCAAUGAUUUUUUAAAUUGCUGUGGUAUUUUGACUAUACAAAGGUAUUGUAAUAAGACUUUAAUUGAGUGCUAAAAGAAUGGAAUUACAAAAAAAGGCUUUUUUAAUUUUAAAAAUUAAAAUUAUUUUUUUUUGUGAAGAAACAAAAAUUUAAAUUAAAGACAAGAAGACCCUAAGAAUUUUUUUUUUUAUUAAAAUAAUAUUUUAUUUUAAAAAUUUAAUUGGGGCGAUUAAUUAAUAUUAAAAACUUUAUUAACAAAAAAAAUGAUCCAUUAUUAAUGAUUAUUUGAUUAAAAUACUCUAGGGAUAACAGCGUAAUAAUUUUUGAUAGUUCUUAUAGAAAAAAUAGUUUGCGACCUCGAUGUUGGAUUAGGAUUCUUUCUUAAUGAAGAAGUAACAACAGAAG